GCCCUUGUGGCGGAAUGGUAGACGCAACGGACUUAAAAUCCGUUGGGAUGAAAAUCCUGUGCCGGUUCGAGUCCGGCCAAGGGCA
rnacentral:tRNA from 1 species